UACGUAGGGGGCAAGCGUUGUCCGGGUUUAUUGGGCGUAAAGAGCGUGUAGGCGGCCAGACAGGUCCGUUGUGAAAACUCGAGGCUCAACCUCGAGACGUCGACGGAAACCGUCUGGCUAGAGUCCGGAAGAGGAGUGUGGAAUUCCUGGUGUAGCGGUGAAAUGCGCAGAUAUCAGGAAGAACACCUAUGGCGAAGGCAGCACUCUGGGACGGUACUGACGCUGAGACGCGAAAGCGUGGGGAGCGAACAGG
rnacentral:rRNA from 1 species